rnacentral:rRNA from 1 species
UACGGAGGGUGCGAGCGUUGUCCGGAAUCACUGGGCGUAAAGGGCGCGUAGGCGGCGCGGAUAGUCGGCGGUGAAAGCCCGGAGCUCAACUCCGGGUCGGCCGUCGAUACUUCUGGGCUUGAGCACUGUAGAGGCAGAUGGAAUUCCGGGUGUAGCGGUGGAAUGCGUAGAGAUCCGGAAGAACACCGGUGGCGAAGGCGGUCUGCUGGGCAGUUGCUGACGCUGAUGCGCGACAGCGUGGGGAGCAACAGG